rnacentral:lncRNA from 1 species
GGGGGUGUACGUGUCUUCAGCUCGGUUUCUCCUCCAUGCGCUGGCCACCGAUCGGUAAGUUCACGUGGCUGUUUCUGGGCUUCCUUCGGUCAACAAUCUUCAAGAUUAUUGACUCCAUUAGUCGACAAUUAAGGGGGUUUCUUGGGUCAUUUGGGCCAGCGAAUCCGUGGUUGUAUGGCCCUAAUAUUUGGCCCACUUU